UUUGGUCUUCCGAAAGUGUCGCCGCAAGCGUUUGUGGUGUUUUUUCGGUUUCAUCGCACCUGCAGUUGGUAGUUCCAUGUUCUCUGUCCACCACACAUUCUGAUUUUGGUUCCGCAGCUUGGGCUGGAACGCUCGAGAAAAAUGAUGGGCCGUCAUAGAGAAUAGACGUGCUUGCAAGGAGUACCAGUAGAGUCACUCCCAUUCGGAAAUUGUGUGACAAUUUCCGUUGUGCCCCGUAAUUCCAAGACAUCUUCGACGUCGUUGUGUUACCCUGCGAACUCGCGCACCACAAGAUCCAGUUAGCCUUGUGCAAUUUUGCUACAACACAGCAAGUCAUGUCCGAUUGGACAAGCGUGCAACUCCCGUCAACUGGUGGUAGACUGAGAUCUAUCACGAGCUAUGAUCUUUCAGAGCAACUCGCCCGUGUAUCUUCGAGGAAGUACUGAGAGCAUGUGAUUUUCUGAAGGCCCAAUGCAGUAGAGCUUUUGACGGGGUCGGAUCUCAAAGUCAGGGAACAAUUGGGGAGCGCCUGACGACGCCGGUGGGAAGACGUGCUUUCUGCAUGCAGCGGGCCCGCUAGCGGGUGCUAGCAGGUCCCUUCUCCACAGUUACAUUUUCUGAGGAUGUGGUGGUGGUGGAGAGAGUAGUUCGUCCUCUGAAAGGAAGGAAACGCUUUUAUGAGUUCAGGUUGACCGCGUCACGCUUCGAUUGGUUGAUGUGUGUCGCCUGGCGGCAGCCGUGGCGCUGAAGACAACCACUGGCCGCUCGUCAAUCGUUUCUUGGUCGUGGCUCUGUAGACGUGAUUUGGGUCUGUUCUUUUCCUAGCUUCGACACUGCAGCGGAAGGGAGCUUGUGUGGAUCAAGACACCUGGUCAGUGUGACCCAUCGACGUUCAAGGAGUCUUUCGUUCUCUCUGGAGAAAGAGACAAUGCUGAGGAAAUUGCUUGAUUGUCACGGCCGAGUAGGUGAGUUCGAGUUGACCUUCUUUGCCACAUGCUUCGGACCUACUUCGAACGUGGUUAGGCCCCCGCAGCUCCGUAAGAGCAGGGUGUGCCCGGACAAUCUCACGUUCACUAGAAACCACGAUACACACCCUGGAGUUCUCAUUGCGCAGCAGGGUUUUUCAAAUCCCCUACGCAUGUUGCGGUUAGUAGACCUUGACGUAUUGCGUAGAAGUUUUUUUGUAGAGAAGAAUGCUUCAGUCUCCCAAACCUCACAGACCAUAUUCAAUCGGGAUAGUAGUGUAAUGCCGUGCUAAAGCCCGUGGGCCUGCUUCAUGGGUGCCAACAACAAAGACGAAGUGUUUGCCAGAUACCGAUUGAGCGCUACUGUCCUACACUGUGGCGUGUCUGCCUAUUAACAUGGUGAAGG
rnacentral:lncRNA from 1 species